AGGACUAACGCUGGCGGCGUGCCUAACACAUGCAAGUCGAACGGGGUAGCAAUACCCAGUGGCAGACGGGUGAGUAACACGUGGUCAACCUACCUCUGUGUGGGGGAUAACUAGCCGAAAGGUUAGCUAAUACCGCAUACGAUCGUUUUGAGGCAUCUCGAGACGAUGAAAGGAGCAAUCCGCACGGAGAGGGGACUGCGUCCCAUUAGUUAGUUGGUGGGGUAACGGCCUACCAAGACUCCGAUGGGUAGCUGGCUUGAGAGAGCGACCAGCCACACUGGAACUGAGAAACGGUCCAGACUCCUACGGGAGGCAGCAGUGAGGAAUUUUCCGCAAUGGGCGAAAGCCUGACGGAGCGACGCCGCGUGUGGGAUGAAGGCCUUCGGGUCGUAAACCACUGUCGAAGGGGACGAUAAUGACGGUACCCUUGGAGGAAGCCCGGCUAACUACGCGCCAGCAGCCGC
rnacentral:rRNA from 1 species